CCAACAGGGAUUGCCUUAGUAACGGCGAGUGAAGCGGCAAAAGCUCAAAUUUGAAAUCUGGCACCUUCGGUGUCCGAGUUGUAAUUUGAAGAAGGUAACUUUGGAGUUGGCUCUUGUCUAUGUUCCUUGGAACAGGACGUCACAGAGGGUGAGAAUCCCGUGCGAUGAGAUGCCCAAUUCUAUGUAAAGUGCUUUCGAAGAGUCGAGUUGUUUGGGAAUGCAGCUCUAAGUGGGUGGUAAAUUCCAUCUAAAGCUAAAUAUUGGCGAGAGACCGAUAGCGAACAAGUACAGUGAUGGAAAGAUGAAAAGAACUUUGAAAAGAGAGUGAAAAAGUACGUGAAAUUGUUGAAAGGGAAGGGCUUGAGAUCAGACUUGGUAUUUUGCGAUCCUUUCCUUCUUGGUUGGGUUCCUCGCAGCUUACUGGGCCAGCAUCGGUUUGGAUGGUAGGAUAAUGACUAAGGAAUGUGGCUCUACUUCGGUGGAGUGUUAUAGCCUUGGUUGAUACUGCCUGUCUAGACCGAGGACUGCGUCUUUUGACUAGGAUGUUGG
rnacentral:rRNA from 2 species